AGACCCCGCGCGUAAGGUUCGGGGCUUCGCGCAGAUCCUCGCCGCUCCGCUUCCCAGCCGGCGACCGCGUGGGUUCAUCGCAGGGUUCGCAGGCCCCCUAGACCCAUGGGCCCCGUUGCUAUAGCAACGGUAGCACCGGCCAUGUGAGGGCCCUGCUCUGCUCUGCCUCUUCGGUGGUCUUCGCUCGGAAGAAAAGAGGAAGGUUAAGAAACCCAGUGGGCAGCAAGACAGAAGAGGAAUAGUUUUAAAAAAUCAACGGAGGGAUCGAAAAGGAGUAGGAUGAGGAAGAUUUCUCUAGUCUCACAAUUAACCACUGUAAAACUGUGUUGAGGUUGGGUGGAGGGGAACGAAGGUUCCUUUCAUUUUCUUCUCCGUUAAUGAGAAUCAGCAAAAUUGGGUUUACUUGCAAAUAAAUCUAUAUAUUUUUUUAAAUUGGUCCAUUCGCUCACUAUCACAAAUAUCGCAAAGUCGCUAUCGAAGUAGGUCGGUAAUUAUCUCAGAUGGUGUAAUAAAUUAACUGCUAAUCUGCAAGGUCGUUUUUAUCAUUUAGUGCAUGUGUGUGCAUAGUUUCCGUUCUGGCUUAUAUUCAUCAACACCGUGAGAAACUUUUUUUUUUAACUCGACGUUUGUCUGCAAGCUUGAUUUUGGUACAGUGGUGCAGUCAAACAUGGUUAGUAAAAUACAAAAAAUUUUACUAGCGUAAAUCUUCUGCGGCACACAGAUAACUGAUCCUAAAUGAUAGCUUACUGCAGCUCUCCGCAAAAUGCAUUCUGCAAACACAAUAAUUACGAUAAACUUUGAGUAACGCAAUCAAAACCAGGAAAUUGCAAAGGUUAAGGGCCCCGCAUACCUGUGCACAGGCAGUGAGGCACUUCAGAGAAGGAAGAAAAAAAACACGUGAUUUAAAAAGUGCUCAAGAUAUCCGAGUGGGGUCUGUUUUCGAAAAAAAAAUAAAAAUUUAAGAAUACGAUGAGGCCGGAUGAGUACUUCCAUUUUCGUAUUUAAUUUUAAAACUGUUUUUGAUGUGUAACAUCUUAGCUCUCGGUAUGCGGCAUUUGGUAGGAGUAAUUACGUGAAUGGCAGGCAGACAGAAGCGCGCGUCAUUCAAUUUUUCGGUGCGGCCUACAUUUAGCGUUUGUGCUGCAGCGUGUCAGAGCGCAAACAUUUCCAUGGCGUCUGAACACUGAAUGUGUACAAAUGUUUAUAGGAAUUAUGUUAAAUAAAUGAAAUUAUAACACC